AAAUUGAAGAGUUUGAUCAUGGCUCAGAUUGAACGCUGGCGGCAGGCCUAACACAUGCAAGUCGAGCGGAAACGAGUUAUCWGAACCUUCGGGGRACGAUAACGGCGUCGAGCGGCGGACGGGUGAGUAAUGCCUAGGAAAUUGCCCUGAUGUGGGGGAUAACCAUUGGAAACGAUGGCUAAUACCGCAUGAUGCCUACGGGCCAAAGAGGGGGACCUUCGGGCCUCUCGCGUCAGGAUAUGCCU
rnacentral:rRNA from 1 species